rnacentral:rRNA from 1 species
GACGAACGCUGGCGGCGUGCCUAAUACAUGCAAGUUGAGCGCUGAAGGUUGGUACUUGUACCAACUGGAUGAGCAGCGAACGGGUGAGUAACGCGUGGGGAAUCUGCCUUUGAGCGGGGGACAACAUUUGGAAACGAAUGCUAAUACCGCAUAAAAACUUUAAACACAAGUUUUAAGUUUGAAAGAUGCAAUUGCAUCACUCAAAGAUGAUCCCGCGUUGUAUUAGCUAGUUGGUGAGGUAAAGGCUCACCAAGGCGAUGAUACAUAGCCGACCUGAGAGGGUGAUCGGCCACAGUGGGACUGAGACACGGCCCAAACUCCUACGGGAGGCAGCAGUAGGGAAUCUUCGGCAAUGGACGAAAGUCUGACCGAGCAACGCCGCGUGAGUGAAGAAGGGUGUCGGAUCGUAAAACUCUGUUGGUAGAGAAGAACGUUGGUGAGAGUGGAAAGCUCAUCAAGUGACGGUAACUACCCAGAAAGGGACGGCUAACUACGUG